CAGAGGUUGCAAACGUUGUUCGGAAUUACUGGGCAUAAAGCGCAUGUAGGCGGUUCGUUAAGUCAGGUGUGAAAUCCCCCGGCUCAACCGGGGAAUUGCGCCUGAUACUGGCGGGCUAGAGAUCGAUAGGGGUGAGUGGAACUCCAGGUGGAGCGGUGAAAUGCGUAGAUAUCUGGAGGAACACCGGUGGCGAAAGCGGCUCACUGGAUCGAUACUGACGCUGAGAUGCGAAAGCUAGGGUAGCAAACGGGAUUAGAUACCCCGGUAGCCCUAGCCGUAAACGAUGGGCACUGGGCAGGGGAGGUUCCUAUGCCUUCUCUGCCGUAGCUAAUGUGUUAAGUGCCCCGCCUGGGGAGUACGCUCGCAAGGGUA
rnacentral:rRNA from 1 species